rnacentral:tRNA from 1 species
CCUUCCAUAGCUCAGCUGGUAGAGCGGAGGACUGUAGGUGUGGUACAGCAAUCCUUAGGUCGCUGGUUCAAUUCCGGCUCGAAGGA